ACAAUUUUUUAAAGUGCUUCUAAAAGAAUUUUAAGAAAUGUAUUCUAACGAAAAAUCAUCGAAAAUAUAUCCAUUAAAAAGGUGAAUUAAAACAAAAAAUAAAUAUAAGCGAGAUUUUGCAACAAAUCAAUAUGCAAACUCAAAAUUAGAAAGCACCGUAUACGUCAGUAAUGUUCUAUCAGUCAAUUUAUACGCGCGAACUCCCUCUGCAGUCUGUCACUGCUUGAUAGCGUGGAAGGAGCAGAAUAGACGUUUCGUUAGCCAAAAUCUAUCAAAACCGAACAAAAUAUUUGGUACUCUUCGUAAACAAGAUGAAGCUCAAUAUUUUUUAAUACAAAAUUUUUUCUUAUAUAUUAUCAAAUCAAACAUGUACAUAAAUUUUAUCAUAUGCAUAGUGUAGCAGAUUCAUAAUCUUUACAAAUUUAUUUGUUCGAACAUUCUACAAAUGAUAUAUUUUCGCAAAAUAUAGAGGUGAUAAAAUACAGGAUACUUUAAGAUUUAAAUAAUAACAAUUUCUUAAAUGAUUUAUAUCAUUUUAUUUUGAUCACAAUGCAUAACCCAAAUAAUUUUACUGCGCACUUGCAGUUGCAGGUGCCGUAGCAGUGGUUUGAGCUUGCUCCUCUCGAAGGCGAUCUUUCUUGAGUUGACCCAUAAAGGAUAUCUUGUCCGCAGCUGUCUGGAAACGACCGUGUCCAAACUUCGAACUUGUAUCGAUGAAUUUCAGAUUGAUCUUUUCCAAAGCGGACCGUUUCGUGUGAAUCAAUAAAGACUGGAAAAGUAA